rnacentral:rRNA from 1 species
UACAGAGGUGGCAAGCGUUGUUCGGAAUUACUGGGCGUAAAGAGCUCGUAGGCGGUUUGUUGCGUCGGCUGUGAAAUCCCGAGGCUCAACCUCGGGUCUGCAGUCGAUACGAGCAAACUAGAGUGUUGCAGGGGAGACUGGAAUUCCUGGUGUAGCGGUGAAAUGCGCAGAUAUCAGGAGGAACACCGGUGGCGAAGGCGGGUCUCUGGGCAACAACUGACGCUGAGGAGCGAAAGCGUGGGGAGCGAACAGG